rnacentral:rRNA from 1 species
CACGUAGGGCGCAAGCGUUGUCCGGAAUUAUUGGGCGUAAAGAGCUCGUAGGCGGUCUGUUGCGUCUGCUGUGAAAACCCGGGGCUUAACCCCUGGCUUGCAGUGAAUACGGACAGACUAGAGGUAGGUAGGGGAGAAUGGAAUUCCCGGUGUAGCGGUGAAAUGCGCAGAUAUCGGGAAGAACACCCGUGGCGAAGGCGGUUCUCUGGGACGGUACUGACGCUGAGACGCGAAAGCGUGGGGAGCGAACAGG